rnacentral:rRNA from 1 species
CAGUAGCCGCGGUAAUACGUAGGUGGCAAGCGUUGUCCGGAAUUAUUGGGCGUAAAGGGCUCGCAGGCGGUUUCUUAAGUCUGAUGUGAAAGCCCCCGGCUCAACCGGGGAGGGUCAUUGGAAACUGGGAAACUUGAGUGCAGAAGAGGAGAGUGGAAUUCCACGUGUAGCGGUGAAAUGCGUAGAGAUGUGGAGGAACACCAGUGGCGAAGGCGACUCUCUGGUCUGUAACUGACGCUGAGGAGCGAAAGCGUGGGGGGCGAACAGGAUUAGAUACCCCGGUAGUCCCUGUCUCUUAUAC